ensembl:lncRNA
AGAUAAUUCAACAGUAUCAGGACACUGAAAAGGACGUACUGCAGAAGAUUCUGAUGCAUCCAAAGGGCAUAAUGCUGUGGUCUAAGAAAACCUUGUCAGUUUUUCAUCAAAGAUGCAAAGAAGACAUUGUGUACUUUGAUGCCACUGGAAGUAUAAUAAGAAAAGAAAGUGCUGGAAGGCCACCAUAUUAUGUGUAUGAGUUGGUUGUCAGAAACCCAUCCAAAGGUGCUUCUCCUCUUCCAGUUGCUACAUAUGUCACAUGUGACCACACUACUGCCUCUGUGACAUACUUCUUGCAGGCCUUUCAGACUGAUCUGGUAAGAGCAUUUGGUAAUCGGGCCUACAACAGGCCUGUCAUGUUCAUGUGUGAUGGAUCCCUAGUACUCCUUCGAUCCAUUUCCAUGACAUUCUGCAGAACAAGUCUAGAGGAUCUGCUGCAGAAGUACUAUGUCUUACUCACUGGCCAGCAUUCAGCACAGCAAUUCAACAUUCCCAUUCUUCAUCGAUGUUUGAGCCAUGUCAUGAAAAAUGCCAAGGACCUUUGUAAAAAACACAUUCCAGAGAACUACAGGCUUGGAAUGCAUGUGUUUGGGCUCCUUGCGUGCUGUGAUAACUUAAAAGACAUGGAUGAUGUUGUCCAUAGUGCAGCAAUAGUGUUUUGCAGUCCUUGUAGUGGAAGGAACGUAACAAAACACUACAACAACUUGAAAAUCCUUAUGCAAAAAAGGGGACCCUGGAUUUGGAUGAAAAGACUGUGAUUGCUGAGGACUACAAGACUGAUGUUCAGAAUGCCCCCUUGAAGACCCAUUUCCAGGCAAUUGUUGACAAUGCAACACUGGACUGUGAGGGUGAAAGAAACAUCUUUCAUGCACCCAAAUUUAUUGCCGGUCUGGUAAAUCACCUUCUACCACAUGCAACUUUGUGGUCAUCAAUGAUGCUCGGGGAUCUUGGACGUCAUGGUACUGGUCCUGCUUACCAGCAGCUCAGUAAACUCUAUAGUGACAUUCAGCAAUCCAAGAACCAGAAUUUUACACAAGACAACAGAACCCAAGGAAUCAUGGAGAAAAGCCAGUGGGAUUUGAAAAAAUCCGUAUCCAGAGAAGGAGACUGACAAGGCUUGAUGACUUUGUGGAAAUUUAUC